rnacentral:rRNA from 14 species
UCGUGCUAUUGGAUGAGCCUGCGUAAGAUUAGCUUGUUGGUGAGGUAAUGGCUCACCAAGGCUACGAUCUUUAGCUGGUCUGAGAGGAUGAUCAGCCACACCGGGACUGAGACACGGCCCGGACUCCUACGGGAGGCAGCAGUCGGGAAUAUUGGACAAUGGGGGAAACCCUGAUCCAGC